CAGUCGCCGCGGGAAUACGGAGGGUGCAAGCGUUAAUCGGAAUUACUGGGCGUAAAGCGCACGCAGGCGGUCUGACAAGUCAGAUGUGAAAUCCCCGGGCUUAACCUGGGAACUGCAUUUGAAACUGUCAGGCUGGAGUCUUGUAGAGGGGGGUAGAAUUCCAGGUGUAGCGGUGAAAUGCGUAGAGAUCUGGAGGAAUACCGGUGGCGAAGGCGGCCCCCUGGACAAAGACUGACGCUCAGGUGCGAAAGCGUGGGGAGCAAACAGGAUUAGAUACCCCAGUAGUCCCUGUCUUUAUACA
rnacentral:rRNA from 1 species